GGAUCCCUGCAGCUCACAAAGGCACAGCUAACAGCGAGUUUGGGGUUUUUUGGUGCUACCUGUGUGUCCUGCGUGGGGUGAGCUCUGUCACCCCCUCUGCUCUGCCCUGCUUGCACCUCACUGCCUUUGCUUCAUGGACUGGGCCUGGGAGGCCUGUGCUCCUCCUUUGCAAUUUGUCUGCCUCACAAAAGGACAUUUUUGGGCUCAAAUUCCCUCUGGGACUGUGCAAGGUUGGUGCUUAGAAUUGCCUAGAAUGACUGUGAGUGUCCAGCAGGCUCUGGCUGUGGGGAAGGGAAGCUGUGCUGCUACGGGAGAAAGGAGAGGAGGAUGUGCUCACAGAGCACAGAGACUUUUGUGGGGUGUUUCCAGCUGGAUUUUGCUCAUGCACUGUGCUGACAGUUCAUCUUUGUGACCACUUGGAUUUUUCCUGCUGGGAAGGACAGGGAGCUGCUCUCCACGAGGCAGGCUGACUUUGCACGUGGCAUCAUUUCCCUUUAUUUCAGUCCUGGACCAGAAAUUCCUGCUGGAGUGGCACUGAGCAGAGGAUACCAGCCUUUUCAGCUCAUUGCUUUUCCACGUGGCCAGAAGAUUGUCAUGACCUCUCUGCAGUGCAGCCUUGGAUGGAACUUCUUACAGCGACGAGGAUGCCAGCCUGGCUCAGGUUCUGGGAGCUGCACGGUGGGGACACAUAACUGGUGACCAGAGUCCUCCCUGAGGGCUCCAGUGACACCAGGGCUAGUGACACCAGGGCUAGUGACACCAGACACUCAGCCACAGCUGGCACUGGCCAGGAGCCCCGUGCUGCUCCAAAAUUGGGACAUAUGGGGGUGCCCAUGGCCUCUCUUAAUACUCCGCUGGUGGCGUUGCUGGUAAGGUACCUGCAGGAAAGGACUGUGUUUGUACCAUAAACAAGGCAUUUCUCCCUAAAAUCAGGAGUGCACCUUAGGUUGGCUUCAGCAGGAUGUCUUUCCUCAGCACUGCGCCUCCUCUGCACUCUUUAUCAGAAAUAGCUUGUGAACAAUGAGAAGAUCUUUUCUUUCUUCCCCCCACCCCACCCUGCUUGGAUUCAGCAAAUAUACUCACAAGAGGAGCCAUUAAAAAUGUUCAUCUUGAACAUUCUUUAUUGAUGUAAUUUCAGCAGAGCUGACUGUGAGGCAGUCGCUGUUGGUAUUCUGCCCCGAGAUGGCAGAUCCUGCUCAGAACCCUCAUCCUGUGAAAACUUCUGUUUGUAUUCCUGAGCAUGUGGAGCAGUCCCUGAAAGCCGUACAGGACACAGCUCAGAAACACUUGAUAAACUUCACCGUCUGUUUCUUAAGUGGU